GCCGGCGUAGCUCAUCAGGAUAGAGCAACAGUUUCCUAAACUGUGGGUAGUGGGUUCGAG
rnacentral:tRNA from 1 species